UACGUAGGCAGCAAGCGUUGUUCGGAAUUACUGGGCGUAAAGAGUGUGUAGGCGGUGCUCUAAGUCGGAUGUGAAAUCCCCAGGCUUAACCUGGGAACUGCAUCCGAUACUGGAUGGCUUGAAUUCGGGAGAGGGAUGCAGAAUUCCAGGUGUAGCGGUGAAAUGCGUAGAUAUCUGGAGGAAUACCGGUGGCGAAGGCGGCAUCCUGGACCGACAUUGACGCUGAACGGCGAAAGCUAGGGGAGCAAACGGG
rnacentral:rRNA from 1 species